CCUACGGGUGGCAGCAGUGAGGAAUAUUGGUCAAUGGGCGCGAGCCUGAACCAGCCAAGUAGCGUGAAGGAUGACUGCCCUACGGGUUGUAAACUUCUUUUAUAAAGGAAUAAAGUGAGGCACGCGUGCCUUUCCGUAUGUAUUUUAUGAAUAAGCAUCGGCUAACUCCGUGCCAGCAGCCGCGGUAAUACGGAGGAUCCGAGCGUUAUCCGGAUUUAUUGGGUUUAAAGGGAGCGUAGAUGGGUUGUUAAGUCAGUUGUGAAAGUUUGGGGCUCAACCGUAAGAUUGCAAUUGAUACUGGCAGCCUUGAGUACAGUAGAGGUAGGCGGAAUGCGUGGUGUAGCGGUGAAAUGCUUAGAUAUCACGCAGAACUCCGAUUGCGAAGGCAGCCUACUAAACUGCCACUGACAUUGAUGCUCGAAAGUGUGGGUAUCAAACAGGAUUAGAUACCCCGGUAGUC
rnacentral:rRNA from 1 species